UUUCCACCAAACUUCCAGAAGAGGAUGCGAGAGCCCUAUGAGAAGACCAAGCAGGCGAAGAAAGCUAAGCUAGGAGAAACAUCUUGAUCAAGACCCCCAAUGCCUCUAGUUGGCUCUCCAGGUAAGUUUGUAUCUCUCCCUCCUUCUGUAAAAAUCAAAUCCAUUGCUUCUUCACUUCCUCAAACAAACCCUAUAUACACAACUGCUGAUACUCCUCCCUCAACCACCAGAUCCUCUAACCAACCAUCUCAAAAAUUC
rnacentral:lncRNA from 1 species